rnacentral:rRNA from 1 species
CAAUUCCCGUUGAUCCUGCGGGAGGUUGCUGCUAUUGGGAUUCGACUAAGCCAUGCAAGUCUGGUAGCAAUACCGGCGACAUGCUCAGUAACACGUCGAUAAUCUGCCCUUAGGUCAGGGAUAACCUCGGGAAACUGAGGGUAAACCUUGAUAGAAGAGACGCUCUGGAAUAUAGCUCUCUUUGAAACUCGAGCCUAAGGAUGAGUUGGCGGCCGAUUAGGCUGUUGGCGGUGUAACGGACCACCAAACCUAUGAUCGGUAGGGGCCUUGAAAGAGGUAGCCCCGAGAAGGACACUGAAACACUUGUCCUAGCCCUACGGGGUGCAGCAGGCGCGAAAAUUUUACAAUGCACGCAAGUGUGAUAAGGGGAUCCCAAGUGCUUACACCUAGUGUAGGCUUUUUUCAAGAGUAAAGAUCUUGGAGAAUAAGUGGUGGGCAAGACUGGUGCCAGCCGCCGCGGUAACACCAGCGCCACAAGUGGCAAUCGUUUAUUUGGCCUAAAGCGUCCGUAGCUGGAACUGUAAAUUUCUUGUGAAAUCGUUGGGCUUAACCUAACGGCGUGCAGGAAACACUGCAGUUCUUGAGACCGGGAGGAGUCAGAAGUAUUUCAGGGGGAGCGGUAAAAUGCUAUAAUCCCUGAAGGACUACCGGUGGCGAAGGCGUCUGACUAGAACGGUUCUGACAGUGAGGGACGAAAGCCAGGGGAGCAAACCGGAUUAGAUACGAGAAAUCCUGACGGAUUUCUGGAAUUAGCGAAUGAGUUUGCAACAAUCCUACUUCAUCGCUAAAGAAAGAAAUUAUUAUGAGGAUUUUACUCGCUAAUUACCCGAGUAGUCCUGGCUGUAAACGCUGCGAGCUAGGUGUUGCACAUUCUUCAAGAAUGUGCAGUAUCGAAACGAAGGUGUUAAGCUCGCCGCCUGGGAAGUACGGUCGCAAGACUGAAACUUAAAGGAAUUGGCGGGGGAGCACUACAAGGGGUGCGGCGUGCGGUUUAAUCUAACUCAACGCAGAACACCUUACUAGUGGCGACGGCAGGAUGAAGGUCAAUCUGAAGGGUUUACCUGACGAGCCGAGAGGUAGUGCAUGGCCGCCGUCAGCUCGUGCCGUAAGGUGUCCUCUUAAGUGAGGCAACGAGCGAGACCUGUAUCUGCAAUUGCUAACAGCCUCUGGGACUGAGCACAUUGCAGGGACUGCCUUGGAAACAAGGAGGAAGGUGCAGGCUACGGUAGGUCUGUAUGCUCCAAAUCCACUAGGCUACACGCGCGCAACAAUGGUAGAGACAAUGGGAUGCAACCCUGAAAAGGGAAGCUAAUCCUCGAAACUCUAUCUUAGUUCAGAUUGAGGAUUGGAACUCAUCCUCAUGACGACGGAAUCCCUAGUAAUCAGAGUUCAUCAUACUCUGGUGAAUACGUCCCUGCUCCUUGCACACACCGCCCGUCAAACCAACCGAGCAGGGUUUAGAUGAGACUUAACUCUUUGGUUAUUUCGAAUCUAAGCUCAGUGAGGUGGGUUAAGUCGUCACAAGGUAGCCGUAGGGGAACCUGCGGCUGGAUCACCUCCUU